CACGUAGGGACCAAGCGUUGUCCGGAUUCAUUGGGCGUAAAGCGCACGUAGGCGGCGCGUUAAGUCGGGUGUGAAAGCCCUGGGCUCAACCCAGGAAGUGCAUUCGAAACUGGCGCGCUUGAAUAUGGAAGAGGGUCGCGGAAUUCCCGGUGUAGAGGUGAAAUUCGUAGAUAUCGGGAGGAACACCAGUGGCGAAGGCGGCGACCUGGGCCAAUAUUGACGCUGAGGUGCGAAAGCGUGGGGAGCAAACAGG
rnacentral:rRNA from 1 species